rnacentral:lncRNA from 10 species
AUAUUUUCUAUGAUAAAAUUUUUUUCAGGCUGGGGGCAGUGGCUCACACCUGUAAUCCCAAAACCUUCGGAGGCCGAGGCAGGCGGAUCACCUGAGGUCGGGAGUUCGAGACCAGCCUGACCAGCAUGGAGAAACCCCGUCUCUACUAAAAAUACAAAAUUAGCCAGGCAUGGUGGCACAUACCUGUAAUCCCAGCUACUCAGGAGGCUGAGGUAGGAGAAUCACUUGAACCCAGGAGGCGGAGGUUGUGGUGAGCUGAGAUCGUGCCAUUGCACUCCAGCCUGGACAACAGUGGGCAACAAGAGCGAAAUUCUGUCUCAAAGAAAAAGAAAA